rnacentral:rRNA from 1 species
AUUGAACGCUGGCGGCGUGCCUAAUACAUGCAAGUAGGACGCAGUUGCGAACGGGUGAGUAACGCGUAGGUAACUACCUAUUAGAGGGGGAUAACUCUUGGAAACGAUAGCUAAUACCGCAUACUAGUAGAUGGAACUGCGUUGUAUUAGCUAGUAGGUAGGGUAAUGGCCUACCUAGGCAACGAUACAUAGCCGACAUGGGAGGGUGAACGGCCACACGGGGACUGAGACACGGCCCUGACUCCUACGGGAGGCAGCAGUAGGGGAUCUUCGGCAAUGGGGGGAACGCUGACCGAUGAACGCCGCGGGAGUGGAGAAGGUUUUCGGAUCGUAAAGCUCUGUUGUGAAGGAAGCGGUACUUAACCAGAAAGGGACGGCUAACUACGUGCCAGCAGCCGCGGUAAUAC